GCUUGACUACGAACGAUGCGAAGUGUGUGAAGUUCAUGCAAAGCAGUAAGUUGGUGUUUUAGACUGCCCACUCGACAGUCUUACCACAGAAUACCAUCCUGUGUACUUUUGUGAGAAGUUAGACAUUUCUUACCGAAAUGUAUCGUACAGUUAUUCACGUGUGUAUCAUAGCUCGUCUGCACACAGUGUUUUGUGUUAGCAUUCAUUAGCAAAGUGAAUGGACUCUUAGCCAGUAUAGCUAACUCAGCUGUAUACUAUUGCACUAGUUCAUGGGUUUCGACGUGAAAAUCCUGAAGAGUUAUCUGAAAGCUACAACUGCGUUGUCAAAGCUCUGAGUUCUUUAGAAGGAGGGACACCGACCACGCCAGUUUGGACACAUGCUCGCACCCCUGUUCGACACCAGAGACCGAGAGACGACAGCGGCAGAGCGCGGGACAGACCACGCCAUCUUUGCUUGCCCUUGUUUUGCUGGAGACCGGGAAAGACUGUUGAACUCUGCACAGUGGAUUGAACUGUUGCCUAAGCCUGCAGUUGAAUGCAUCCUCCCAAAACUCAGUAAGCACUGGAGAGGCAGCCACUUUAGUGGGAGAGAGAUCCAGCAAGAACUCUCUCAGACCUGGGAUGACAGAUUUCUCAAUGCCAAAUCCGAUGGCUCCAGCACAGAAGCUGAACCUCAGCAUGUCUGAGUCAGUUACCCAAGAUUCACUGCCUAUCCACUGGCGAGGUGGAGAAGGCUCACGCGACAGCUCCUCCAGCAGGAUCCUCAUGUCUCCAGAAGCUACAAAUGCCACAACAACCAUAGCUGUCGACCUGGAGAGACAUUAGAGUGCAUUAUGUUAUACCAGUAUAAAAAUGAAAAUAAUAUUUUCAUCAAGAUAGUUAACACAAAAAAAACCCCCAUAAGAGAUACUAUACUUUUUGGUGUGAAUGAACAGUAUUGGUCUCUACAGUAUUGGUCUCACUGAUUUUGCUUUUGUAACAAUAUCAUUAAUAAACAUAUGAGAAAUAAACGUUAUAAAAGCAUUAUAUGAUAUAGUCAGUCGGUGUCAGCACAGGGAACAAGUGAUGUAGAAACCUGCGGAUAACGUCAGCCACUCUCUGGAUCCUGCUACGUGGGUGGGUCCGAUAGAAAGACUCUGAAUAUUCCACACAGAUCCCCUCUUUCUGCGCUGCGUGAAGGAAAGAUGCCAUGCCAUUAUUUCCAUAGUCUGAAUCUGAGCGGACAGCACCUAUCCAAGUCCAGCCAAAGUAUUUUACAAGUUUGGCCAGCGCUUCAGCCUGGAACUGGUCACUAGGGAUUGUUCUGAAGAAACUCGGGUACUGUCGCUUAUCGGACAGGCAUGCACAAGUGGCAAAGUGGCUCACCUAAAGGAAAACAGAGUUGUUGCUUUUUAAGGAACAGAAAAUGAGCACUGGCCUAUAUCAACACCAAGAGUUUUACUUCAACAUUAAAAGGGACACAUAUCAAGCAUGGGGUAUGGGGAUCCUCCCACAAAGCAUUAAACACUUAAUUUUU